rnacentral:rRNA from 1 species
UGGAUCCAGACUUUGAUCAUGGCUCAGGAUGAACGCUAGCUACAGGCUUAACACAUGCAAGUCGAGGGGAAACGACAUCGAAAGCUUGCUUUUGAUGGGCGUCGACCGGCGCACGGGUGAGUAACGCGUAUCCAACCUGCCCACCACUUGGGGAUAACCUUGCGAAAGUAAGACUAAUACCCAAUGAUAUCCCACGAAGGCAUCCGAAUGGGAUUAAAGAUUUAUCGGUGAUGGAUGGGGACGCGUCUGAUUAGCUUGUUGGCGGGGUAACGGCCCACCAAGGCUACGAUCAGUAGGGGUUCUGAGAGGAAGGUCCCCCACACUGGAACUGAGACACGGUCCAAACUCCUACGGGAGGCAGCAGUGAGGAAUAUUGGUCAAUGAGCGAGAGCCUGAACCAGCCAAGUAGCGUGCAGGAUGACGGCCCUAUGGGUUGUAAACCGCUUUUAUAAGGGAAUAAAGUGAGUCUCGUGGGACUUUUUGCAUGUACCUUAUGAAUAAGGACCGGCUAAUUCCGUGCCAGCAGCCGCGGUAAUACGGAAGGUCCGGGCGUUAUCCGGAUUUAUUGGGUUUAAAGGGAGCGUAGGCCGGAGAUUAAGCGUGUUGUGAAAUGUAGUGGCUCAACCUCUGCACUGCAGCGCGAACUGGUCUUCUUGAGUACGCACAACGUGGGCGGAAUUCGUGGUGUAGCGGUGAAAUGCUUAGAUAUCACGAAGAGCUCCGAUUGCGAAGGCAGCUCACGGGAGCGCAACUGACGCUGAAGCUCGAAAGUGCGGGUAUCGAACAGGAUUAGAUACCCUGGUAGUCCGCACGGUAAACGAUGGAUGCCCGCUGUUGGCCUGAAUAGGUCAGCGGCCAAGCGAAAGCAUUAAGCAUCCCACCUGGGGAGUACGCCGGCAACGGUGCAACUCAAAUGAAUUGACGGA